GACGAACGCUGGCGGCGUGCCUAAUACAUGCAAGUCGAACGCAGUGGGGACGGGUGAGUAACAUGUGGGUAACCUCCCAUCAGAGGGGAUAACACUUGGAAACAGGUGCUAAACCGAUACUGAUGGAUGGACCCGCGGUGCAUUAGCUAGUUGGUGAGGUAACGGCUCACCAAGGCCACGAUGCAUAGCCGACCUGAAAGGGUGAUGGGCCACACGGGGACUGAACAACGGCCCAGACUCCUACGGAGGGCAGCAGUAGGGAAUCUUCGACAAUGGCGGAAAGUCGGACCGGCCAACGCCGCGGGAGUGAGAAAGUUUUUCGGAUCGUAAAACUCUUUUGUUAGAAAGGCGGUAUCUAACCAGAAAGGGACGGCUAACUACGUGCCAGCAGCCGCGGUAAUAC
rnacentral:rRNA from 1 species